UCCAUUUUCUGCUGCUUACAGGUCUUCCCUGUGAGCGUGAUGUGUUAAAAAUAAACCAACAGUGGCAGGUUUCCAUUUCAAACCGAUAUUGCUCCUUUAGCACUGAAGUUCCCAGCACAGGAAGGACAUGGACGGACCCCUUGGAGCAAGUCCAGAUUAUCAGAGGGAUGGAGCAGCUCUGCUGGGAGGAAAUGCUGGGAAAAUUUGGAUUGUUCAACCUGGAGAAGAGAAGCUUUGGGGUGACUUAAUUGUGACCUUCCAGUGCCUGAAGGAAUUGGGAAAGGUUUGGAGGGUUAUCUCAGGGAAUGCAGGGGAAAAGGCCUCAGGCUGGGCCAGGGGAGGCUCAGCUGGGACAGCAGCAGCAAUUCCUGCAUGCAAAGGGUGCUCAGGCCUUGGCAGGGGCUGCCCAGGGAGCUUUGCAGUGCCCAGCCCUGCAGGUGUCCCAGGAAGGGCUGGAGGUGGCACUCAGUGCUCUGGGCUGGGCACAAGGUGGGCACUGGGCACAGCUGGGACUCCAGCCAGUCCAUGGGCUGGCAGGGAUUUUCCAGCCUCAAUAUUUCUGUGGAAAGAAAGAUGGAGAGGAACCUUGGACAGGGCAUGGAGUGACAGCACAGGGAGAAGUGGAUUCAAGCAGAGAGUAGGUUUAGAUUGCACAUUAGGAAUAAUUUAUUCCCUGUGAGGGAAGGUGGGCAGGCCCUGGCACAGGGUGCCCAGAGCAGCUGUGACUUCACUUCCCUGAAUCCCUGGAAGUGUUCAAGGGGACAGGCUGGACAGGGCUUGGAGCAGCCUGGGACAGUGGAAGGUGUCCCUGCCCAUGACAGAGAUGGCACUGCAUGAGCUUUGAGGUAACCCAAACCAUUCUGUGAUUCUGUGACUCUUCAUUAGCCAGUGUGAAAUGAGAUCUGCAAGAGCUGAUCUAAAACUUGCACACCUUGACGUAACCCAUGAACUUAUUGUACAGACAUUAACUUGAUUUUUCAAGUGGGCAUUUGCUGUUUCAGUGCUUUCCCAGGAAGAGAUGGAAGUUACACUCCAGGACUGGGGCUGGAACCUGUGUUGUUUAAGAAAACUGUGCUGCUGUCUGUAGUUGUCUCUCCAGGUGUCCAGCUGCAGAGCAGAGAUGUGACUGCACAGCUCAGCAUGGACCCCAAUUCUCUUCUAAAUUAAACUAUUCAUAUUUCUAGGCCAGAGAGUUUCCCUCACUACCUUUCCCUGCCUAGGGAAAAAGGAAAAUUUCCCCAAAUUUUCCCCAUAAUGGAAAUUUCCACACUAAAGGUAUACUGCCAAAGCCCAAAUUGCUGGAAGACUUUGAAACUGCAAGGAAAAGGAGAUCACAGGAUGCCCUGGAUGAAUGGAAGCAGAAGAGCUGAGGGAAUCCUGUCUGGAAUAAGCCAAAGCAGUGAUUUUCUGUUUCUGACUGCUCCUUCGUCCCUUCUGCAGCGAGUAUAAUCUGCAGCUGACAGACCAUAGAGAACCCAGGGCACGAAGACACACAUGGAAGGAUCUGAUCACUGAAAAGCUCAGCAUGAGCAGGAAAAUGCCUUCCUCAGGGGUUCCUCGUGUGCCUGGAUCAGCCCUGGCCGUGCCCUGGGCUCUGCUGACCCCCAGCAGCCCAGCCAAGGCCUCCAGUGUCAUUUUUGGAUGGAAUGCUGUGAAGCUCUGAGGGUGUGAGGGUUAAUUCCAGCUUCUCACAGCCCAGUGGCAGCCUGGAGGAGGCCAAGCAGUGUUUGAGAUUAUGAAGGCUAAAAUUAACCUCUCCCCCUGCAGAACAAGGGCAGAGCUUGCUCCCCUACCAGUCAGAAAAGUGAGAACAAUUUGGAGAACAGCUGCAAGGAAGAAAACCAACAGCUCUAGUGGAAGGGAUUUCUGUUCAUGCAAUGCAGAAAAAGAAAUUAUUAAGUAGCUGAAUUUCUUACAGAUUAGGUUGAGCUGGUACAUUCUUUUGCUGAUUUUCAGCCCUGCUUUACCCACUGGGGUUCAGAGGUAGUUGAUAAAGGUGUUUGGCUUCAGACACUCACUCAAUCCAAGGAGUUGCACUUCAUGCCUUUGCAUCUCAUCACUCAGUUGCCAUUCUUCAUUAGACGAGAAAAAUUUUAUUUUGCCCUACACAAAGAGGCCCCAGUAAAAAAAUUCCUUGAGGUGUGUCAACUUUCAGUCUGAGAAGAAUGUAAAUGGGUAUUAGGAGCUUUAUUUGGUCAAAUGGGAGAGUUAAUCAGAGCAGAAGGAGGUGGCCUGGAAUCCUGGGAAGUACUGACUCCUGACCAGGAUUUAUUUUAUAAAAUAUUCCAAAAGGUCUCAUACUCAAACAAUUGUUGAUGGUCCCUGUGCCAGGGAGCAGCUCAGGUGUGCCAGAAACUGUUGGAUCCAUUGAUACCUGAUCAUCAUCAACUUCUCUGGGGAUGUGAGAGAGAUUUAAAUGCUCACUGGGCCAAAUGGGGAUGAACAGCCUUAAAAUGGGAUAAAAAUGACUUGACAAUUGGAACAUAUAUCCUGCCCAAGUCUGUUUCUUUUCUGUCUCCAUGGACUUCAGA